rnacentral:rRNA from 1 species
AACGAACGCUGGCGGCAUGCCUAACACAUGCAAGUCGAACGAGACCUUCGGGUCUAGUGGCGCACGGGUGCGUAACGCGUGGGAACCUGCCCUUAGGUUCGGAAUAACUCCCCGAAAGGGGUGCUAAUACCGGAUAAUGUCUUCGGACCAAAGAUUUAUCGCCUUUGGAUGGGCCCGCGUUGGAUUAGCUAGUUGGUAGGGUAAAAGCCUACCAAGGCGACGAUCCAUAGCUGGUCUGAGAGGAUGAUCAGCCACGCUGGGACUGAGACACGGCCCAGACUCCUACGGGAGGCAGCAGUGGGGAAUAUUGGACAAUGGGCGAAAGCCUGAUCCAGCAAUGCCGCGUGAGUGAUGAAGGGCUUAGGGUUGUAAAGCUCUUUUACCCGGGAUGAUAAUGACAGUACCGGGAGAAUAAGCUCCGGCUAACUCCGUG